ensembl:lncRNA
GUCAAAGCUGCAGCUGGGAUUGAUCCUGCAAGCGCUGUUCCCGUGAGCCUGAACAUCGCUGCAUGGCACGUGCUCAGGCUGUAAAACAAGUCAUCCAGCUACACUUCACAAGGGAGUUCACGGCCUAAAAAAGGACUGUUGUGCUGCAUGUACAAGAGAUACAGGCCUAGCAGCUGGGAAGUGUGGUAAAGGGCUCAGCUGUGAGAAUCGCACAAUGGCAGCCCGAGGACAUUGCAUGUAUGUGCAACCGUGGCGUCUGAUGGCUUUCAGACAUGAACUUGGAAUCCAGUUGUCCAGAGAUUCAUUGUUCCAGCCCAGCAAUACCCAGCACAUCAGAAAAAAAAGAAAAAGAAAAAGAAAAAGAAAAAGAAAAAGAAAAAGAAAAAGAAAAAGAAAAAGAAAAAGAAAAAGAAAAAGAAAAAGAAAAAGAAAAAGAAAAAGAAAAAGAAAAAGAAAAAGAAAAAGAAAAAGAAAAAGAAAAAGAAAAAGAAAAAGAAAAAGAAAAAGAAAAAGAAAAAGAAAAAGAAAGAAAGAUACCUAAAAGACAGAACAAAAUAGCCCAGAAGCAAAUGAGUGAUCCGGACCAUAAUCUGGGUAAUGUGCAAAAUAUGUUAUCUAAUAGAUUGCACUUACCCAGACUUCCACAGAAUCUACUCCAGAACAGACUGUUCUCUGUCAUCAUAUGCCAUCAGUGAAAAGGACGGGAUUUCUGAAAGACCAGAUGUGAUAAUUAAGGUUUGUAUGUUAUUCAAGAAUCUUCCAUGUUUAUUUUUUUUUAAUCUACUAUCUAACUAGGUAGAUCUCUGCCUUGCUAAAAGGGAAGCAAUUUGGAAAGGAAGUGUAUUGGGGACUUAGGGCUUAAAAAGUCAAAGGUGAUACAGUUUGGUGGAAAAACUGUCACACUAAUUUUUUUACUGAGGAAGUCAGCUAUGAGGAACUGAAGUAAUUGUCCAAUUUGGCUUUUGAAGUAAUGAGAGUGCAUCUGAACUUGUACAAGAGCCAUUAUACUAUAGAAUGAGUUCUUACUCCAGGUGAAGUUGUGUGAAUACUUUCCCAGGGGCUUCACAAAACACUACUUGAAUAUUUUUUAAAGUAGCUUUUUCUGAAGAACAGUAUUGUCUGGAUAACUGCAGCAUAUGAAUUAAGUUGAAACUUCUCUUGAUAAUUAACUCAAGAACUCCAGAUCCAGUGACACAGCUAAACACUUAAACUUCUGUCACUGUUUUACGUGUCCCUGAAACAGACUUUUAACUGUUCCACCUCAGCUUGUGCUUCAAGGAAUGCCACACUCUUGGGGUUGUUUUUUUUUUCACCUACAAUCUUAUCUUUAGACUUUUUAAUUACUGACUUUGUUUUUAAGCUAUUUCUUUCAGCACCCUGGGUUCCUUUCAGGCAGCCGACCAAACCUCUUGCACCCUGGAAAGGGAAGGUCAUGCAAUUCUUUAUUUGCUGAAAUACAAUCACAGUGCAAACUCCUUGUGAAAGAGCUGGCUGUUCCCAAUCAAUCUCUGCUGGCCUUUCAUAACGACAAAGAUUGAACUCCACUUAUUGUUACACUUGAUUGUAAAUCUUUUCAAUCUUUUCUUCUUUUGACUGAAUAUAUAAACCCAGGUUCACCGUAGGAAAAGAUAACCCUUGUUUUCAAUGGGGCUUUCACACUGACAGCCCAGGCGAGAUGGGCAUCUUCUGAGAUACUUACUUUCCAGAGGAAAUUAUUAAGCUGUCAGCUGCCUUGAGCCAAGGGAUCUUUGGGUCAAAGCCCAUGGAAGCACAUAGCAAAUCAGUUUGUCUUUCUCUGCACUCACAAAUACUCCUUUCUAUAUCUACCAAUACAAAGGAAUGCACCCUCCUAGAAUGUGUGAGUGUGCACUAGCAGGUUGGCCAACUACAGAGUUCUCGGGGAACUAACUGGAAAUCCUUCUGUAGAUGCAUUGGAAUUUUGUUCUUUCCACCACUCAGUAAAGCUGGUUGUCUUACAGCUUUGAGUACAGCGGUUAAAUGCAGCCAGAAAGGAAUCUGUAACAAGUUUCUGGCAUGGAGCACAGUUUGCUGUACAAAGCCUCCAGUGCUGCUGAGUUCAGCAGUACUGUGGUCAGUAAGUAAGGACAUAGCAGAGAUCACCAUUUGCUUCUGAAAUGCAAUAGGAGCAGAAGAAAUGGAGGGACAGCCAGGAUCGUCGGGGAUCAUCCUGAAAGAAGCCUGACUACAGUUAAGCUUCAGUGACUGGCAUGGAUCGUGUGCCCGUGCGUAACUGCCUACAUACAAAGAAGUGCAGAUCGAGGUUUCUUCUACAACAGCCUAAGGAUGCAGUGGCUGAGGUCCCAUCACAGUCACCCCUUCCUGAAGUUAAGAAAACACCUUGUGUCCAAGUUAACAUGGGAUAUGGUCAGGAUGGUAAUUUGAAAGAGUUUCUAAAAGAAGCCGACAGUGGCUCUGAGUCCCCCACCUUUGAAGGCUUUGAUUUAUAUCUAAUACUACUGCAACCAAUACCUACCAUUCCUAAAGAAGGCCAGAAAGAGGUGGUAGGAACUGUAAGAUGCAAUACAUGUAAGAUAAAGUCAGGAAAACAAUUUCCUUUCUUUGUGACAGCAAGUGGCAUUUCCUCUGAACUCAGAAAUAUUUUUGUCUUUUAAAGCAAAUUAGAUAAAUAUUAUUCGUCUUUCUUUUCCUUGACUCAUUUCUGGUGCUCCUAUCUCCAAAUUUCUUACACUCAAACUUUUCUUUCUGCUCCCCUCCAAUCUCUAAUUUAUAUUUCUAAUCCCUUCUUAGAAACCUCAUUCUGACUGUUUGAUAUUAUAGAAGACUUUGCUAAACAUAAAUUCUGUUAAAUUGGUGGUCUGCUGCCAGCUUUCUGCAGAGAUCUCACAUAGUACAUUAACAAUGCAGAUUAUGUAGCGGUUGCUUUGCUUAAUUGCUUUCUUCCUGCCUACUGUCUGUAGAAGGGACCUCAGUUUCCCUUAAAGUAAUUCUUUCCUUACCAGAGUCACCUUUGUUCCCUGUGAGGAUCCCUCUGUAGUGUAAGCAUCUCCUAAGUAUAACAGCUGUGGCUCUCUGGAAGCUCCCUGAGCACAGCACUUGGCUGAGACACGCUGCCUGGAAGGGGACAGGGUGGGACAGGCAAUCCCAGCUCAUCAUCAGUGUCACGCUCUCUGGAGGAAAGGAAACAAAAAAGGUGUUUUUUUGAGUUAGAGCGUUGUGGUGGUUGUGACAGCCUAACUUUUAUAACAGAGAAUCUAUUUCACUACAGCAAACGAGACAGCUGGAAAAAACAGAUGCGCUUUAGACUGCACAAACUAAUUUAGAAGUUAGAAGCCUAGCUUUGGCAGCCAAACUUUGCAAUGUAUAACAAACUAGAAAAUCGAACAAGAGCUUCAGUUUAACAGCCAUGUUCCGCUCUACCUGCUCAGCCUCUCUCCAAGAACUGCUGGUGUCCUCCAGUUCCUCUUCAAGAUUCUUUCGCGCUUCCUGAGAAAAUGUCUUUUCUCAGCUAAACUAAGGCCAGUGCCCAGUGCCAAUUCUUCACUUUUUGGUUUUUUUUACUCAAUUCACGUGCCAUCUAAAUCAUUAGCAAGAAAAGGAAGAUUCCUAAAGCAUGUAAGCAUUAUGUAUGCUAGAGAUGCUCUGGUUUAUCCAGCAAUUUUGUGGAAGAUAAGCUAUGUACACAGCUUGUCUUGAGCUGCUCCCACUCCAACACAAGAUGAGCCGUAACCCUGGGCCGUGCAGUUCAGCUGCCAAAGACCCAUUAUGAAUCUUCUGCCUUGCCAUGCUCCUCACCUGCAGUAUUCAUUUUAUUUUUUUUUUUUUAAGCCUGAAACAAAAGCAGAAUAUUGUAAAAGUUUUGUACGAUCUGUUGUUUGUUGCCCCGUGUCUGUGUUAUGACUGUGGACAGCUGCUUUAAAAUGAAAGAGACACUGUGCGCCUCCCAUUUUCAGGUGUCCCCAGAAGCUGCAGGUUCUCAGCCUCUCAAAAUCCGGGCUACAAUAUCUGCGUUUAUGAGAUUCAAAAUUCUCUCUGAGUUUUUAACAAAACUAGACUGUGUUUUGCUGCCAUCAGAAUCCACUGAGAUAAACAGAGAUCUGAUGAAGCACUAGGAAGUUUCCUCUUUGUGUAUAAAUAUUUAUGUAUGUAAAUGGGUGUAUGGUUAAUUAUAUCUGACAAGAAGAGACUGACAGCAACUCAGAUCCUCUGUCCCCACGGAGUGAUAGAAGUUGCUUGUUGAAGUGUCGUAGCACAUCUCAUGGGCUGUGUAUUGAAUCAUUGAUUAAAUGCUGCAGCAUCUGGGUAGCUAAAAUGCCAGGGACUGCUGAAGGAGGAGGGAGGAAUGUGCACUGAAUACCGAAUAAGAGCAGGGAAAUCAUCUGGUUUGUACUUCUUUAUAUUUCACAAACUGAUCAAGAACCAGAGCGUUUGCUUUCCCCGUGUGUCUCCCUGCAGAAUGGGCAGCCCACCUUGCUUUCACCUGCUCACAGGCAGUGUCCCUCACCCAGGAGGAGCUGGGAAAGUGUUCCAUGAGAAGACAGCACAGGCUGAAUGUAAUAUGCAUGGGUGGGGUGAAAGCAACCCUACAGCUGGCUCCUUCAAGUGUAGGCAGGCUUUAAAUCUGCUUGUGUGUUAGGAAGAAGGUGGUAUACAGCUAACGUUUUUGAAUGAGACUUGAGUAUCUUUGUUAUUUCCAUUUCCUGUUUUUCCAUUAUUCCUGAUAUCCUUGUGAGCUGGGCUUUGUGUCUGUGAGUAAACUGUUAUCUCUUAACCGUCAUAUAAUGCUAUCUGAAGGAAAAAGAAACAUUUGGAUGAAUCGUACAGCACUACGUAGAAUCACAGGUAUAUACAUUUAGAAAAAAUAAGUAUUUAAUGAAAAUAAUUUACAAGUAAAAUCAUAAAGGUGUGUAGCUGAAAAGAAUAUUCUGUGUGACAUUUUUGGGACAUGGAAGAGAGCUAUUUCUUUUUAAUAUUUCGACUUGCUUUCCUAGCAUGGCAUCACACACUGCUGUGCAUUUCUUGAAACAAUUUUUAAGUGUGCUGCAUUUUGUUUUUCUCUAUUUUUGUCAUUUUGUAAUGAAUGGCAGUGCGAUUUGUCAGAUCUGGCACGAUAUACUUUUCUCCUAACACUUAAGGUUUCUAGAAGUGUUUUAUUGUGGCUUUUGUUUCCAUAUUUUUUGUUGCUCACUCUCCCAUUUCCUUAAAAGCACUGCUCUCUCUUGCAGCCUAUAUUCAUCAUGGAUAUUAUUUUCUUUACUUCCUCCUCACUGAUUUCCCUACUUUCAGUCUCUCCUUUCUCCCCUAACCUGAAAGACCUGAAGAACAUCAUCCAGUAGCUCCACAAUUCAAGAAAUGCCAUUUGUACAUGAUUUUCUUUCCCAUUUGAGAGCAAUCCUUUCAGAGGCAGACAGCACAGAGAGACCUUCGAUGUCUGUUCCCUCUUUGUGAGCAGCAGGGCCAGAACAUGAAAACAUCACACCCAUCCACGUCAGGGAAAACACGGAGACUUGAGAAUUAGAAAGAUAGAGAUGGGAAGAGGUGGAAGGUUUGCAGCAAAGCUGUGGGAGCAGUCUCUAAGCUGCCAGAAGCCAGGGAGUGUCACCUCCAAGUGUCCUGGGUGUCUUCUGAAGAAUCCUGCUGGCAACAGACACUGGCUGUGGGGUGAACAAUCACUGCCAUGUUUGAGUAGGCUGCUGAAUCAGCCCGAGUCCAAGGGACAGGGCCUGUGGGUGCCAGCCACUCAGCAGAGGAACAUUUUGGUCGCUGUCACAUGGGCUCUGGGCUCCAGCUGUCCACAGCUCUUUCCCCAUCAGCUGAUGUGGUAGAUGUGAAGAACCUAGUAGGUCAUUUGCCUAAAGGUCACCUGUACUGAAGGUGACCUACAAACCAAGCUUGUAGCCCUUACCCCACGCACAUAUCUGCUUUAUUAUUUCUACAUGUGACAAGAGACAGACUGAACACAGAGCUUUUGAAAAAAGAAAAAAUAGAAUUAAAGACCGAAAGCUAAAAAAUGAGUUAUUGCUCUUCUGUACCCAACACCAGGUUAAUGAUCUAUGUGGUUUCAAGGGAAUCACUACGUAAGUACUGAUAAAGCACAGGAACACCUGACAAAAAAAAAUGCAGAAAAUCAUUAUGCUGCAGGCAGUUGUUCAAGCUUUGUCAAUGUUUUCUCAUAUUUCUUUUUUUCCUUCUGUGGAGCGAUGGAAAGUGAUGAUAAUGCCUUCUGCUAGGACAGGAGCACAAAGGAAUUAGUUAAAGUUUAGUUUACAAAGAUACAGAAGAAGGUGACUCACCCUUUCAAAAGGCCAGCGAUGUCUUGAGAAGAGCAUGAUCUCUGCUCCCUCAGCUGCUAGCCCUUAAUUGAGGGCCUCAGGUGCAUUGCUUGUACCUGAGCUCCCUGGGUUAGCCAUGACUUCUCACCUGGUGCUCAGGUUCAGGCUGUGGCCUAGCAAUCCCCACACACCUUUGAACCCCUUUUUCUUUCUCAAUAUUACAGUCAUUAACUAAAAAGAUGUGUUUUUUACAUAUUUUUUUACAGCACCUUUCCUCUUCUUUCUCUGCUGUUCCCCUGCAGUUAGCUUCCCUCAUGGGGAUGCAGCAUCAGAAUGCUGUCUUGCUCCAACAGAUGCCUAUAGAUGUCAGCUGGCACCUUCCGGUUGCACCAAACCUCAUAGGCCUGAAGAGUCAGUGUAACUCCAACGUUGCCCUCCUGUAAAAUUCACUCCUCAUGAAGUUAACUGGCAAUUUACAUUAAAAAUUACUUACAAACAUUGUACAGGUGAAGCUGGCUCUGUAGCCCCUUUUCCAAAACUGCUCUUCUUGCAAAAAAUAUUGCCCACUGCUUGCUUCUACAAACUGUGGCAUUGGCCUGCCUCAGUUAUGUCCUUCCCUAAAAUCUUCUGUGCUGGAUCCAGAAGUUCCUAAUACAAACUUCACCCUUGAAUGACUCCUUUGGGAACAACAAUAUUCAAGCUAAUCUCCCAUUCGUGUUAUUGCUGUUAGUGGAGGAUUUGUUGCCAUGCUUUUAUUGCCUUCUGCUCACUGAACUUUUGUACUCAUAAGAGCCUUACUUCUUUCAGCCCUCCUACAUCAAGCCAAUUGGUGACAAAAGCUUUUUCCUUUCUUUCUAGUUCUUGCCUCCAUAUCCACUUGAAUACAACCUGUCUAUUUCUAUUAUAUACCUGUCUUCUAGAGCUGAGUUUCUUCUCUCUUUAAUGUGUAGUUAUUUCAUAUGACCCACAUUCCAUUGCAAGUAGGAUUAUCUUAUAUCACUGCAUUAUGUGGCUUUAGUGACUGCAUCUAGACACAUUGUCCCAUGCAUGGUCUAUGUUGAUUGGAAUCCGUGAAAAGAAAUGCACACAAGGCAGCUUUAGUUUUCUUUUGUUGACAUUGAAGCUUCUGUUUGUAACAAUUAUUUUCGUAUACAACAAUCUUGUAGAAGCCUAUACAGUGGUUUUAGCCACAAAGCUUUAUGAAUCUUAUGCAUUUUAGGAAAUUACAUUAAAUUACUCUUAAGGAACUUCAGAAAUAAUUUUCUAGUGUAGAAUACUGUGCUAAAUUAUUUCAAAUCUUUGCUGUUAGUCCACUCCACCUUCUAGAUCUCAUAAAACUUAUUCUUCAUCACUACGUAUGAAUCCAUCACUGGAUCCAGCUAUGUAAUGUAUAAAUGAGUGCCACUAACUACCUUUCCUAAUAGGCUUAGAUAUUUUUUAGAAGAGUUGCAAAUUCAGGUAAAAUAGAUAAAAUCUUAGGCCUAUGGAAUAAAACCAUUAAGAUGAAGGUAACAGAUGGACUUGACCAAAUUCAGUGCUUUUCUGAUUGCAGAUUCUGAAUCAUAAUGCAAAAAAGGUACAAAAGGAGAGGGGCUGCCUGCUUAAAUUCACAAGUAAAGCUUUGUGAGACCCCAAGUCUUGAAAAACAGAGAACAUUUCAAUUUAGGAUUCAAGUUUACUGACAGAUUUAAGAUUUUUUAAGACAUCCUUUGUGACCUAGGAUGAGGGGUCUUACUCUCAAAAUUGUUGAUCUAGUUGUUCAUAUUGUCUGAUAGGAACAAGACGUACAACUCUGUAAGAUUUUGUCAAUUUUACAGAGCUGUCUAAAAAUGGGAGUAGAAAUCCUAACUUUAGCUAUAUGUAUUUGGAGAGUUUGGUCUAAGGUCUAUUACAGAACUAUAUAAUAUUCUCUGAACUAGAACAGCUGUCAGAAUGUCUAAAAUUGUCAUUUAUAUUUAUGGAAGAAAUAGUUGGUAACUGGUGUCACCAUCCUAGUAUCCACCACUAAAGUCAUCCAUGUGUCUUAUUAAAAAUGUAAGUAGCCAUUACAUUUAACCUGUUUUUACCAGUAAAGCAAGUGGCAAGAUAUUUUGACAGAUGUGGCACUGACUACAUUUGAUGAGAAAAAAAAAACAGAUACAGGAAGAUAGCAUUACUAACAUUUUCCCAUCAGCUGAUAUCUGUGAGAUUUAGAUCUGUGCAAAUAGAAGUCAAGCUAGAUUUCCCAAUUUUAUAUUUUAUAUUUAUCACUGCCUUUUUUAUUAUUUUUCUGAGAAUGUAUUUAUAAAACAUGCUAUAAAUUAUGUAGAAUAAGUAGAAUUUAAAUUCUCCUGUAUUGCUCCACACUUGUUUAAUGUACUGAAUAUUACAAUACAUUUACCAAAUAAGACACUUUGCAAGACCAAAAGGAUUCUGUAGUUCAGUCACGUGUGAAGUCUGUGCCUGGUUCUGCUGCUCCCAGGCUGCUGCAGACUGGGCAACAAGCAGAUUUCACACAGUAAAUGAUCUCAGCUAUUUGGUGAAACCUAUUUUUAUUGUGGUAAUAGCAUUCAAUCACUUUUCAAAACAGGGAACUAGCCCGUUUCUUCCUCACUUGAGUAGCAUUGAGAACAGUAGCAUCCUUGCAUAUUAAUGGAUGCCAGUCAACUACAGAAAAUGAAAUGUUUAUGUUUUACAAUAUUUCAGGUCAUCUGGUGUUUCGGUUUAAAUCAUUCACACUGAUGCUGGUUCUUUAAUCCCAGGAUACCCUCUGUAAGAACAGGAUCAUAAAAUAGAAAUUCCUUUCUGAUAGAUACUUGAGUCAGCACACUUCUUUUUCUUCUGCUCACAAAGUGCUCCAAAAAUUCACACAGUAAUUUAUAUAUUUGUGAGUCUAUUUGGAAAACGUUUUCAUUAUACAAAUAUCUUGUGAACAGUUUGCUGUGAAUAUUUAUUACCUAACUUUUACAUUAAUGCAGUGUUGGCUAGUCAUUCAGAGGAUGCAGUUUCUGCACCAAGAGUCUUUCAAAUCUUGCAAAUACAUUUCACAUUUAAAGUGUAACGUGAACAAUCCAAUUCAACAUAUAUUUUGCUAGUACUUAAGCUUUUGCUUAAAUUCACUUCUGUAAGUGAAAGUAAACCUAGAUUGCUUUUGAGCUCUAGUGAGCAUUAGUGGAUUUUUUCCAUUGCUCAGUCAGCUCAAGUAAUUGCAUCCUUCUGACCUAGAUUCUCCCUGCAGUUGCAGCUCAAAGCCUUCUUCACCCUGUCCUGUACAGUGUUGUGUGAAGUUCCUAUGUGCUGUGAGGUAGUCGCUACACUGCACUCCACAUGGCUUUGUUGCACUGAAAUGCAUUUAUUUCAGAUCCUCUGAUGUAAGGCCCUGAGACAGAUUUAUUUCAUGCACUUCAUAAUUACAGAAUACAAUAAACCACACUAAACUUAAGAACAUGUUGCUUAAAUUCAAGCACGGUUAUGUUCCCGCAUGGUUAAAUAAAUAGUUUUAUUUCACAAACUCAGAGAUCACCUUCUGGUUUCUUUAAAGUCAGUGAUAGACAUACUUAACACUUACUAAAGUAAACAGCACUUCAAAUUGCUGUAUUUAAGCAUUCAUGUUUGAUAAUUUUGGCUCUAGCUGUGCGUUUGCCUAAUUGUAAACACUACAUUUCUUUCAUUACCAGGUGCUGUAAGGGUUAUACUGUAGUUCAGGUGCUUUGAGAUAAUUAAGGGAAAGAAUUACAGGAGCACAAAGCAUCAUAACGUGGUUUCUCUAAAUACUGAUCACAGACAGAGGCUGCGAUAUCUAUAAUAGCAAUCAUUUUUUUGUGCUCAAUUUCUUGAAUAAACUUGAAUUGAAUCUACCGAUCAUUGGUUAACCUGUUAACAAAACAGGCCCGUUCCUGAGGAUCACAGACAGGCAAUGGGGGGUGUAUUUGGGUAUUAGGGAAGGUUUUCCACCAAAGACAUCGCUGCUCAGCAAUUAGCAGUGUCUUGGAGCUGCUCUCCAAUUGUCGGAGGAACAAAAAGGGUGAGCAGAGUAAGGCAUUUGGGAGCAGAGUACUGAAAAACAGGAGGAAUCUCAUGUUUGUGUUUUAAACAUAAGUCUGCCAUGAAAGCACAGCCAGGAGAGAGAUGGAGCCUGGGAUGUGAGGUCUGAAAACAUCUCAGGAUACAGAAAAGUGCUUUGGAACUGAGAACGUUUCCUCCCUGCUGAACACAGUCUGGAGUUAUUUACUAUUUCACACCUGAAAUUUUGUCAGCAAAUUAUCAGAGUAAAUAUUAUCUGCACUGCUGUAGAAUCACUACAAAUUUUGAAUUCCUCUACAGAACCUCUUCUUCAUCUACUGCCAUUCUCAGCUGACAUUCACUACCAUUUCUUGCCAUAGGAAAAGUAUGCUGUUUUGAUCAAAAAUCCACGUACAAAUCAGCCUGCAUCUCACACAUCUACAGAAGACCAGGAUAUCUUGCCGAGCUUUUAGUUAUUUAUUUUUGCUCACACAAAUGUGUGAUUUCCCUCCUUUUAGCUGCCCUACUAUUUAAUUCACAACCGCAGCAUCACCCUACGAGGCACUUUUUCCCCUGCAUACCACUCAGGGAUGCCCCCUGCCACAGCCUCCUCAGCCAGCCCUUGGGAGAAAGCAAGGCAGAAAAGGGACACAGAACCACAGCCCUUCAUUGCUCAUAUGGUCACACAUCACCUCCUGAUCCAGGACACGCACACCAUGGGACUGAAAGCAGACCUCGAGCCUGCCUUGCACCCCAGCAGUACCCAGAAGAGAGAGUGCAGGAGACACCACAGUUGUGUUCUUGUAACCAAAGCUUUCCGCAUGCAGGGAAAUCUAUGGCAUUUUAUGCAGUAGGUACAGAAUAAGAUGGUGGAAACUUUCACACGCACUUCUGAGCAUUUGCUCUUUGUUGUGAGUCAGGCUGUGACCUGCAGUCCUGCAUACAGCCUCCCCUCCUCAGAUAACUCUCCGCACUCUCACACUUGAAUCUGAGGGCUCUAUCCAAACUUGCUGCAGGGAUUUUAGAGUAUCCAUGAGGAAGUGACAUUUCCCUGACACUAAGCAUCAAUCUGUAGCCUUCCAUACAUCUACAAUUCGUUUUUAUAAGAUUUAUAGUCUUUUCUUUAUGGGCACUUCAUAUAACAUCACCUCAGCAGUGUUUCCAGUGCUGCCUCAAACCCAGUUCUGAGUGCCACAGUUCUGGCUUUUAGGGAGAAAUGCAAACAUGUAGUAGCUUUAUUGUUUGAUACACACCUGUGUUUCCCUUUUGUUCUAGAAAAAAAUCUUUUUGCUGUGAUUCCACUAUUACAAAUAUCAGCAUUUCCCAUCUUUUAGCUCUUCAUAUAGCAAAACUGUGGACUGGGAGCAGAAUGUGAGGGGCUGCCUGGGUUGCUUCGUCCCAGGCACCUCCUCUCAAACACUUGCCUUUGCGGGGCAGUCUGGGAACACAGUUUGAGAGAAGAACCCUCACACUCCUGGAGCAGCUAAGAAGAAACACCAGGUGCUCCCCACAGCCCCAGUGUGAGGACAAAGCAUGGCUGGGAGUGAAGGAACCAGAGGCAAAAGGAACACUUCUUGUCAUCUCACACUGUUGGAACCACUAAAUGUCAGCUGCUGCAGAGACACAGCAACAUUUGACAAGUUGCAUUCCACAUAAACAAAAUAAGCAAGAAGUGACGAGGCACUGCUAACCUCCUAACCCAACUGCUGCUCUGGUUUGGUUCUACCCAUCCUGGACCAAGCUUGGCACUGUUCCUCACAUUUCCAUUGACUAAAUGGAUGUAAGGUUUAUUAAAUUAUGAAAAGUAAUUGAGCUGAACAUGAAAUUGAACAGUUUAAGAGCUACAUGUAAUAAAAAAAUGUUAACAAUGAAAAGCAAAGGAAAAAACAGCUGCAAAAGGAAAACAGAAUUAAAAUUGAGAUAAGAUAUACUUGCCACCCAUUUGCUGCUCCUACAUACAUAGAAGCAGAACACUCUUAUUCUUGUUUCAUUCUUGUUUACACACUGCCAGCCCCACUGACAGAGGGGUGUACCUGGCAUAAGAUGAGAAAGCCCUAUAACAGUGAUAUUUUGUGGAGUUUAACUAAGACAGCAUAUGCCCCUGCAGCCUACUGCAUGAACUCCUGCCCCUUUUAACAAAAUACACAUAAGCUAUUUUAGAAUGUUCUACUGCCUGUUACUCUAUUUAGGCAGCAGGCUGGGCAGCUGCUGAAGCUUGGCCUGAUUUGCAC